CCCAGGCAGGCUGGCCCCCAGGCUGGGCUGGGGAAGUAUCUCUUCAGAAGGCUCACCCUCAAGCACCACUAGGAGC
rnacentral:pre_miRNA from 1 species